AGCCUCUAGUCUCUCUCUAUAUCUAGGGAUAGGACAGGAAAGAUUUCUGACUAGGCAGCCACAUCUACACAGACCAGGCAGAGCUAAUGAGACAUAAUAAAAGUACGACUCUGUAAAGAUGAAGAGAUGAGAUGGAGGAAGACAACGAUGACAACACAGCAGCUGGAGGAGGAGGAGAGUCUGAAACCAAAUCUGUUCCAUCUGCAGCCAAUGAGAACGUGAUACCUAACACACUUGUGUUAAUUGGUGAUACAAAUUCCAUUGAGAUUGGAUCAAAAAACAUCUUACUUGACCAUGACGGACAAACUAACAUGGAACAGUUUUCAACCAAACUGUAUGAUUUGUGUGGUCGGCACAUCUCUGUCAUUAACAUGCUUGGUCUACAAAACAUUGAUAAAUGCCCAUUUAAUCAGGAAAUUCAUGCAUUUCUCUUACUGUUACCAAAUGGUCGGCAUACCAACCAUUACAGUUCAGGACUGCAGUGGUUAGAAAAAGCUUUUGGGAAAGGAUCACUUGAUUAUGUAAUGACAGUUGUGACUCAUAAGUCAGGUGAAAACUCUGAAAGUGCCCUGACAGACCUGAGAGCAAACAGCAGUUUUGUUGAAAAAAGAUUCCACACAUGUACAAGAAGUAUGAUGGAUGAAAUAGAGAUAAUAGCUCUGCUGGAAAAAAUAGACAUCAUGGUCUCUGAAAAUGAUCACCACUGCUACAGUGGAGUGACGUGUGAUGAAAAUAAAAGGCAGAAACUACACCUGCUGGACUACAAAUCCCACAAAGAAGAAAGAAUGGAUUUCUCAGUGUAUCAGCAAAAUCAAACAGGUGAGAUUAUAAAGUUAGCA